UACGAAGGGGGCUAGCGUUGUUCGGAAUUACUGGGCGUAAAGGGCGCGUAGGCGGUACUUCAAGUCAGGCGUGAAAGCCCCGGGCUCAACCUGGGAACCGCGCUUGAGACUGGAGAACUAGAGUUCGGGAGAGGAUGGUGGAAUUCCCAGUGUAGAGGUGAAAUUCGUAGAUAUUGGGAAGAACACCGAUGGCGAAGGCGGCAUCCUGGACCGGCAUUGACGCUGAGGCGCGAAAGCUAGGGGAGCAAACGGG
rnacentral:rRNA from 1 species